UUUAACUUACAGAGCAAGUCAAUCAUCAAGUGUCCACCACGUUUUACUGAUACCUGCUGUGACACAGUAAGCUCAAUCAUGUGUGAUCCUAUGAGAGCCACAGGAAAUCUAACACCCACAUGAACCAGAAGUUGCUGGAACUGGAAGAAUUUGAAUGUCUGCCUUUGAGGCAAUGGUCACUUCCAUCUGCAGGAGUUAGAGGUGGUUAUUACCAAACCAUUGCAAAGCUCCAAACCGGGUUCAUAAGUUCUGAGAAACACAAUCCCCACCUGUUCCAAAUCACAGUGCAUGAGAAAGAAAAGCCUAAUGAACCCAUUUAGCUGAAGAAGCCUCUACUUUCAUCUGUUCAAACAGUGUACAAAUUUCAUGUUUUUGAGGAACUAUUUAUCUUCCCACUCAAUAGGAGCAAUUCCCAUUUGGCUACCAAGAAGAAAGGCUCAAGAUCAGAUGUGUCUCUGACUGACAAUACUUGCAUUUUAAGGAAUCAACUAUUGGAUUUCUGGUCUUUACAGUCAAAACAUUUUUUGCUAACUAAAUGCAGAAAUAACUUUACUUUUGAGCCAAAUACAUCCCUCGGGCAGGCUCAGUAAAGUCAAUACCUUCACAACAUGAAAGAAUUUGGCUCAGAAUAUUAUGAGCUGUUUGUAUCUCUGUCUACACAGGCUGCUGCAAUAACUGACAGUAGUGGAUAAUAGUUUUGAGCUAUCUGGAAGAGAUUUAAAAUUAUUGUAGGGUUUUGUUUUUUUGUCUGCAGUUAUUUGUAGUCCCCACUGAAAUGGGUUUUGAUAGAAGGGCUUCAGUCAACGACGGCUCUGAGGGAACAGUCCAACUCCCACAGAUUUCAUUAAAUGUUGGACGUGUAUUUCAAACAAGACUUAUUUAUGCAAUAUAAAGUCUUCCCAAUUACACAGUAUAUUAUACAGUGAAAAUUAUGGAAUGUUUUCUUCUCAUAAAAUACGCCACAUGAUAUGGUGCUAAAGACAGAGUGAAAUUAUAGAAAUAGAGUCUUUCCCUCCCGCACACCAACAAGAAUUACAAUAGUUUGAGUAACAGAAGGCAAAAUUCAUUUGUAAGCCAAGUUCGUGUACUAUUGGAUCCUAAAAAUAGCCUGGAGAAUCUUCAGAGAGUUUUCAAUAAAUGAGUAUGUUAAAUCUGAACCGUAUGUACUGGUCACUGGAAUGCUUUCCCAUUCUGCUUUAUUUUUGGGAAGCAAAUGCAAAAGAUUCCCAAACAUGUACAUGUAGCAGGCAAACUGAAAUGUGGAGAUGGUGCACCUUCCAUCUACCUUCUUAGUAGUAAAGGAUCCAGACUCACUCUCUCUCUCUUGAAAAGAUCUGCUCUGUUCCACUAAAAUGUAGAGACAGAAUCAUAUGAUUGAAGACCUGGUGACAUAAAGAAACAUGAGGUGUCCUGAGGGACCACAUGGUCCUUCAACUACUCUUUCAGUACUGAAGCAAAAAGUGAAUAUGCUGAUUUUUUUCUCUAUAUUUUUGUGGAACAAG